AAUUGUUAUAAUCCUAGUAAUUUAAGUCUUAAAAUCACAAAUCGAAAAUUUAUUAUUGGCAUACCUUUGAUCAUCUCUACUAACAAAUUUCUUCCACGAGAUCACUACAUACAAAUACAAUUAUGAGAAUUUGUAACCUUCUAGACAACAAUUUAUGAGAAUAUUCCCCAAUAAUGGAGAUGGCUUUUACAUUUGCAUAAUUUAAAAAAAAAAAAAAAAGAUGCUAUUUUGUAGUUUUUGUUUUUAACACUCAAUUUGGUAAAUGGCACAUUGCAUGGAACAGAUGCAGUUCCUCUGCCCCUGCAUAUUUCAGAAAGGUUCACUUUCAUCUCCUAGUAUUGACACAGAAAAUGGUGCAAUAGCCACGUUGAAAGUUGUUGACCCUACUCUAUCGAUGUGUUUCAUCUCAAAGUCACCUUCCUGCAAUUGUACAUAAUUAAGUAAUUUUAGCAAAAAUCAAUUCUCAUAAAUUUGGAGCUUGAUAUCACACAAAUAAAAGGAUAAACGAUGAACAAUAAAAAGAAAGCAAAUAUCUAUUAAUAGAUUUUCAACAAAGAACCCUUCUCUCCAAGCUACAAUUCUUUUAACUAGCUUGCAUUUUAAUCCGUCAAACGUUUCGAAAUGUAAAAUAAGUAAUAACAAAUCAUUUAGCAAAAAGUGUUAACAAUACUAACAUUUAUUUAUUAGUAAACAUGCACCACUAAGAAUUUAUUUCAUAAUAUUAUUAAUAAAAUAAAAGAAUCUAAAAUCUAACGUAUGUUAGAAAUCCAAGUGUGUCCCUACUUCGGAAUGCAAUUUAAACCAAUUUCUGGGCAAGAGGAAAAUUCAUUGUGUAUCAUGCUUUUCAACUGUAUCCCCCGCCACAAAUUUCAAAGAAAGAUAUGGAAAGAGGGGGUGAAGGAAGGGAGGAAAACCAUAGAAGCAAAAAAGAAAAAUUGGCAGUUCUUAAUGGAAGCAAAAGAAAGGAAGAGAUUGUAGCUCACCAUUCUGCCAUUUGGGGUAGAUAAUGGGCAAGCAGAUGAGUAUUCAAACCCUGUCUUAGGAAGUAUAACUGGCUGUUCACCUAUAACACCAAUCCCCCUGAUGAAUGGCAAAUGAUGCACAAGAUCAAUUUUGGUAAAAUUUUAAGCCCAAGUCCACAUGACAAUAAAAAGACAAAUAGAAAAUAAAGUAUCUUGACGAUCACCAAAAAAUUUCUUAGUUUUUUUCAGAAUUGCAAAAGACAAGAAAAGUAAACAACUCACCAAACAUUUUCAGUUUUUCCAUUGGCAUCCGUGAUAAUCCAAUGUCUUCUGAGAAGCUGAACAGGACGAUCUGAGUUAUUUGUGAUUCUUAUUCUGUAUGCAAAAAAAUACUGUCCCUUUGAAGGCUGACUUCGGCCUUCAAUGUACACACUCCUAACCUGAACUCUGAUCCCCAAGGUUGUUGCAUCGCUUGAACAUUUCAGGAGGGAAUGUGGUGCAAUUUCCUUUAGUUCAUCUCGAUGCCUAGCAGCAUCCUGGCCAAGAAUUACCAAAUGGAUAAAAGAUUAUCAGGAAGAAAAUAAAACGAACAGCUUAAGAAAUAAUAUAGUCACAUUGAAUAGCCCCUAUAUCAAAUAGUUGCAGCUACUUAUGGAUGAUAAUUGAUGGCAUGACAACCUUAUUAAAGAGAGAGAGAGAAGUAAGCAAGCUCUCAUACAUUACUGUAAAUGUAAUUCAAAGAUAACUACAAUGAAAUGACCAGCCUUCACAUCUUCCAUUCGCACCCUUUUAGUUCAAAUUAGUUUCUUUCAACCCGUAAAUACUUGAAAUGGAUUACCAUUGCUUCAGAACUACGUUAGUUUCCAGAAAUGUAUAUGAAAUCGGUACCUCAAACCGCUCUUCACUGAUGGCCUCCUUGAGUAACCUGCGAAGUCUCAGAAUUGGCUCUUCUUCCUCAAAGGAUUUCAAUGAAUCACGAAUUCUGGCAGCUUCUUCGUAGUCCUCAGAUUGGGCAGCAACCUCCAUUUGCUGUUUCAACAAAGCAUAAGUUUGAGUCCGAAACAAAAACGAACUCGCCCUAUAAUCCGAGCCCAUGUCCGACCCGGAACUCGAGUUGGAGCUCGAACUCGCUCCUCCUCCACCGCCAUUCCCAUUUCUCUCAACGGAACACGCGACAAUCCUACAAUUCCUAGAGGAAUCCGCAAAAUUGAGCCAGUGUCUUCUCUCGAAACCGGAUGUCCGGACCGGCAAGAAGGUCCUGGCGCCGGCGGUAAAAUCCGUAAACCCUUUAAGACUGGGCAGCAAAUGCAUUUUCCGAUGGGUUUGGGAAGAAAAAACUGUGAUGAUGGAAUCGGGAAUGCGAAUUUGAAGACAGAGAGAAAGUGAGUAUCUGUGACUGCGAACGAAUUUAGGCAAUUUUAACUGGCUCUAUAUUUACGGUGUGCGAAGUGACAGAAUUAGCCCUGAUGCAGAGGGUGGAGAUAUUAGAGAGGAAGGGUAAAAUCGAAAUAUGGUUAAAAAAGAGGAAGACAUUUAUGGUGGCCGCGCUUGGACGUGGAUGGACAAAAAAAU
rnacentral:misc_RNA from 1 species